rnacentral:rRNA from 1 species
AACGAACGCUGGCGGCAUGCCUAACACAUGCAAGUCGAACGAAGGCUUCGGCCUUAGUGGCGCACGGGUGCGUAACGCGUGGGAAUCUGCCUUUCGGUACGGAAUAACUCAGAGAAAUUUGAGCUAAUACCGUAUGAUGUCGCGAGACCAAAGAUUUAUCGCCGAGAGAUGAGCCCGCGUUGGAUUAGCUAGUUGGUGGGGUAAAGGCCUACCAAGGCGACGAUCCAUAGCUGGUCUGAGAGGAUGAUCAGCCACACUGGGACUGAGACACGGCCCAGACUCCUACGGGAGGCAGCAGUGGGGAAUAUUGGACAAUGGGCGAAAGCCUGAUCCAGCAAUGCCGCGUGAGUGAUGAAGGCCUUAGGGUUGUAAAGCUCUUUUACC